ACUCCUACGGGAGGCAGCAGUGGGGAAUAUUGCACAAUGGGCGCAAGCCUGAUGCAGCGAUGCCGCGUGAGGGAAGAAGGUUUUCGGAUUGUAAACCUCUGUCUUCAAGGACGAUAAUGACGGUACCUGAGGAGGAAGCUCCGGCUAACUACGUGCCAGCAGCCGCGGUAAUACGUAGGGAGCGAGCGUUGUCCGGAAUUACU
rnacentral:rRNA from 1 species